GCCGAGGUCGCAUAACCUGGUACUAGUUUAGUCUCUGUUGAGACUUGCUUGCAGGACAUUGCGCUGGACUGCUAAUCCAGUUUCCUUCGGGAUAUGUGGGUUCAAACUUAGCAUACAAAAAACAUGGAAACGUAUGCUGAUGAAUUUCCCACCCUCGGCG
rnacentral:tRNA from 1 species